rnacentral:misc_RNA from 1 species
UUAAGUUCAGCGGGUAGUCCUACCUGAUUUGAGGUCAAAUGGUCAAGUUGUCUAUGUAGACGAUUAGAAGCAAAACCCUUCCAAGAUGGAAAGCUGAUUCUCGAUAGUAUAGAUAAUUAUCAUACCAAAGAUGGUCAGCAAAGACUUUGCUAAUGCAUUUAAGAAGAGCUGACUUCUGAGAAGCCAGCAACCUCCAAAGU